AUCAUGCCCCGCUAGACGAAGAGCUGACCGCUCAGAGAAUGGUUACGAAAGGGACAAACAAGCCAACAAACGAAGUCCAGUCUCCCCAUUUGUUGUAACCGCCGGGUCCCCUUUGGUUGCCAUGGCACUUGAGGCCAGAAAGUCCUCAGCUCCCAGGUGAAGUCCUCCACCAGCUGCCCAUUCCUGGGGGUGGAUGCCGUGACAGCCACGCCAGAUUGUCAGCUACCCAGAAGGAGAGGAGGUGGCCGUCUGUGUUCUCCAAACUUCUGGGACUCCUCAAGGAGUGAAGUCUGAUCUACGCACGGAACCAACCACCACGGCAAAGGAAGAGCGAUGGCGCCCCCAUGUGGCAACACAAGCACUGCGAUUUCACACAAGACCAAAUCAGAAUUGGCCGGAGGGGAACGUCAGAUUCUUAGGGAGUGUUACUCCAACUAAUGCUACACUCAGGGCGACUUCUUGGAAGGCAAAAGCCCCAUAGUCUAGCCAUACAACUUUCCAGAAAAGUAGCACUCUUCAAAACAGCUGGCAUUAAAAUUCUUGGCUCUGCCAUCCACCCGUUCUGUGAGACUCUUUCCUCAUCCCCAAAAAUGGAAGGUCUGAUGACUUCAAAAAGAGUUUUACCGUUUUUCCCCUCAUUGAAAAUAAUAGAAAACAGUAAAAUACUGCAAAAAAAAAA
rnacentral:lncRNA from 1 species